rnacentral:rRNA from 1 species
GACGAACGCUUGCGGCGUGCCUAAGAAAUGCAAGUCGAGCGGGGAUUAGCGCUGUCCAAAGCUUCGGCAGAGGACUUGCUAGUUCUAGCGGCGAACGGUCGCGUAACACGUAAGCAACCUGCCCCAAAGAUUGGGAUAACCCACCGAAAGGUGGACUAAUACCGGAUGUGGCCAGUUUGAUGCAUGUCAGACUGGUUAAAGGGAGCAAUCCGCUUUGGGAUGGGCUUGCGGCCUAUCAGCUAGUUGGUGAGGUAACGGCCCACCAAGGCGACGACGGGUAGCUGGCCUGAGAGGGUGGCCAGCCGGAUUGGGACUGAGAUACGGCCCAGACUCCUACGGAGGCAG